UAGUUGGUAGUGUAACGGACAACCAAGGCGAUGAUCAGUAGCCGGUCUGAGAGGAUGAACGGCCACAUUGGGAUUGAGACACGGCCCAGACUCCUACGGGAGGCAGCAGUGGGGAAUCUUCCGCAAUGGGCGAAAGCCUGACGGAGCAACGCCGCGUGAGUGAAGAAGGUCUUCGGAUUGUAAAGCUCUGUUGUACAUAACGAAUGUGCCGGUUGUGAAUAAUGACUGGUAAUGACGGUAGUGUACGAGGAAGCCACGGCUAACUACGUGCCAGCAGCCGCGGUAAUACGUAGGUGGCAAGCGUUGUCCGGAAUUAUUGGGCGUAAAGAGCAUGUAGGCGGCCUAUUAAGUCGGGCGUGAAAAUGCGGGGCUCAACCCCGUAUGGCGCCCGAUACUGGUGGGCUUGAGUGCAGGAGAGGAAAGGGGAAUUCCCAGUGUAGCGGUGAAAUGCGUAGAUAUUGGGAGGAACACCAGUGGCGAAGGCGCCUUUCUGGACUGUGUCUGACGCUGAGAUGCGAAAGCCAGGGGAGCGAACGGGAUUAGAUACCCCGGUAGUCCUGGCCGUAAACGAUGGGUACUAGGUGUAGGAGGUAUCGACCCCUUCUGUGCCGGAGUAACGCAAUAA
rnacentral:rRNA from 1 species